rnacentral:rRNA from 1 species
CAGUAGCCGCGGUAAUACGGAGGGAGCUAGCGUUGUUCGGAAUUACUGGGCGUAAAGCGCGCGUAGGCGGUUACUCAAGUCAGAGGUGAAAGCCCGGGGCUCAACCCCGGAACUGCCUUUGAAACUAGGUGACUAGAAUCUUGGAGAGGUCAGUGGAAUUCCGAGUGUAGAGGUGAAAUUCGUAGAUAUUCGGAAGAACACCAGUGGCGAAGGCGACUGACUGGACAAGUAUUGACGCUGAGGUGCGAAAGCGUGGGGAGCAAACAGGAUUAGAUACCCCAGUAGUCCCUGUCUCUUAUAC